CUCUGCCUCAGAGGUCUUCUCAAGCCACUAUUGUUCCCAAGGAUGCCUAAUUGCAAUGCCAGCUUCUGGGGUGAACAUGGACCCACUGUCAUCGGGCAAGGUCUAGGAUGGACAUGGAGACCCACCAUCUGGGAGAUUCCAGAGUGGACGUGAACCCACCAUCAUCAGGCAGCUUCAUGGAGUAUUCAGAAGCUGGCGGGUGUCACCUGGAGGAUGUGACUGGGUACCAGUGCCAGAGCACGUGCCCACUGAGCAGUCUUCUUCACUUUCCUCGAUCCUCAUGAAACAUUCCGGGAUCUUUACCUCAAAGGACUCCAGAGGCUACAUCAUUGUCUUGGAACUGGUCAGUGGCUGGAGCUCUCUCCAGGACAAGUGCUUGGAGGAAGAACCUGGACAAGCUUCCCUCCCCAUACUGUUGACUGGAUCUUGUAGCUACCGUUAGCCACCAUCAUCGCCAUUGUGUGCCUCUUAGGAGCAUUUCCAGGAGGUGAUGCCAGCUGGGGAAAGAGCCUCUGUCCCACAGGACAGCUUCAGGUGGUGAUUCCAGCUCCAGGGUUGCUGCGGUCAACACUGGGUACUUGAGGAGAGGUU
ensembl:lincRNA Mirg miRNA containing gene